UGGGGAAUAUUGCACAAUGGGCGCAAGCCUGAUCCAGCCAUGCCGCGUGCGGGAAGAAGGCCUUCGGGUUGUAAACCGCUUUUGUCAGGGAAGAAAUCUUCUGAGUUAAUACCUCGGGAGGAUGACGGUACCUGAAGAAUAAGCACCGGCUAACUACGUGCCAGCAGCCGCGGUAAUACGUAGGGUGCAAGCGUUAAUCGGAAUUACUGGGCGUAAAGCGUGCGCAGGCGGUUUUGUAAGACAGAGGUGAAAUCCCCGGGCUCAACCUGGGAACUGCCUUUGUGACUGCAAGGCUUGAGUGCGGCAGAGGGGGAUGGAAUUCCGCGUGUAGCAGUGAAAUGCGUAGAUAUGCGGAGGAACACCGAUGGCGAAGGCAAUCCCCUGGGCCUGCACUGACGCUCAUGCACGAAAGCGUGGGGAGCAAACAGGAUUAGAUACCCUGGUAGUCCACGCCCUAAAACGACGUCAACUGGUUGUUGGGAAGGUUCCUUCGCAGUAACGUAGCUAACGCGUGAAGUUGACCGCCUGGGGAGUACGGCCGCAA
rnacentral:rRNA from 1 species